GAUUAGAGUUUGAUUAUGGCUCAGGACGAUCGCUAGCGACAGGCUUAACACAUGCAAGUCGAGGGGCAGCACGGUGUAGCAAUACAUUGGUGGCGACCGGCGCACGGGUGAGUAACGCGUAUGCAACCUACCUAUCAGAGGGGAAUAACCCGGCGAAAGUCGGACUAAUACCGCAUAAAACAGGGGUUCCACAUGGAAAUAUUUGUUAAAGAAUAAUCGCUGAUAGAUGGGCAUGCGUUCCAUUAGAUAGUUGGUGAGGUAACGGCUCACCAAGUCCACGAUGGAUAGGGGUUCUGAGAGGAAGGUCCCCCACACUGGUACUGAGACACGGACCAGACUCCUACGGGAGGCAGCAGUGAGGAAUAUUGGUCAAUGGGCGAGAGCCUGAACCAGCCAAGUCGCGUGAAGGAUGAAGGAUCUAUGGUUUGUAAACUUCUUUUAUAUGGGAAUAAAGUGAGGAACGUGUUCCUUUUUGUAUGUACCAUAUGAAUAAGCAUCGGCUAACUCCGUGCCAGCAGCCGCGGUAAUACGGAGGAUGCGAGCGUUAUCCGGAUUUAUUGGGUUUAAAGGGUGCGUAGGUGGUUAAUUAAGUCAGCGGUGAAAGUUUGUGGCUCAACCAUAAAAUUGCCGUUGAAACUGGUUGACUUGAGUAUAUUUGAGGUAGGCGGAAUGCGUGGUGUAGCGGUGAAAUGCAUAGAUAUCACGCAGAACUCCGAUUGCGAAGGCAGCUUACUAAACUAUAACUGACAC
rnacentral:rRNA from 1 species